GACACAUCUUAAUUUUAUUAUCAGCACUGUGGAUUGUGCAAUGGAUUAGAUUUCCACCCCCUCGGCUACUGGAAAAUUCAAAAUGAAAUUUGUAUUCCAUCUCUGAGACGGAAACCAUGUUGGUCAUGCUGGUUUUGAACUCCCAACCUCAAGUGAUCUGCCCACCUCUGCCUCCUGAAGUACUGGGAUUACAGGCCUGAGCCACCAUGUCCAGUCCACACUUAAGUAUAGAUUUGAAAUAUCAUUUAACUAUAAGUCACAGACCAAGAAUUUUAUGGUAAAAACAUUAAUGAAAACCAUCAGCCUACAUGUUUGCCUUUUAGUUCAUGUUAGUAGAAAAUAAAUUUUAGUUCGGUUUUACAAAUAUACAUAAAAUUAUUGAUCGAAUGUGUCUGCCUAUAAAAUAUUUUAUCCAAAUUAAAUUUCAUGCCAUGAUGUCAUAUGAAAUAAUCUGAGAACAGCAUUACAGACUUCUGUAUGAAUCCAAAAUGAAAACAAAUUAACUAGCAAACUCCCUUUCUUUGGCAUCUAUUCAUUAUCAUUUGCAAAUUAUGAUUUACUGCCUAGGAAUCAAUGACCAGGAAAUUGUAUUUUCUUCUAAAGCAAUUUAAUUUGUUUUUAUAAGGAAUUUAGUCAUGAUAUCAUGACUUUUUUGUUUCAUAUGAUUUAAAAAAUAAUGGUCAUUAUAACAAAUUGGAAAAAUAUAUAAGAAGAAGCAAAAGGUCUUAAUAAUGUUCGAAGAGAGAUAGCUAAUGCCAAUAGUUUGUAAUUUCCUCCCAGUAUCAAUCAAUCAUAUAUUUUAUUUAUAAAUUGUUUUAACAAAAUGCUGCCAAACCCUAAAAUGUACAUGGCCCCAACACACAUUACCAAACCCCUUUUUCAGUAAUUCUCCCCUUAGCCCCUUCUGUAAUUUUCCAUUUCCGCAUAGAAUCCAAUUUUUUUGUUUGUUUGUUUUUUUGUAUUUUUGAGACAGAGUCUUGCUCUGUCGCCAGGCUCCAGGCUGGAGUGCAGUGGCGCAAUCUCAGCUCACUGCAACCUCCACCUCCCGGGUUCAAGCAAUUCUCCUGCCUCAGUCUCCCAAGUAGCUGGGACUACAGGCAUGUGUCACCACGCCCAGCUAAUUUUUGUAUUUUUAGUAGAGAUGGGUUUCACCAUGUUGGCCAGGAUAGUCUCGAUCUCUUGGCCUCGUGAUACGCCUGCCUCGGCCUUCGAAAGUGCUGGGAUUACAGGCGUGAGCCACGAUGCCUGGCCUUGCUCCCUUUCUUUAUCAGAAAGACCCCUGAGCAUUCUGAAGGCAAAGUUCUCUGAGAUGGCUUUUCUAAUGUGCUCAGGGAAAAUAAACUGCUUUCAUUAAACUUUGUUUAAUGAAAGGUGACCUAAUGACAGCAGUCACCUUUCACUCCUUGAACUAAAUAAUUACUGCUUGAAGCCACUUGCUAAGUGGGCUCCAGACUAACUAAUGUCCAGUAGCCAUAAAAUGCCAUACGCUGAACACUAUAAUCCCCUACCUAUUGGCUAUUCAACAAUGUAUAACCAAACACUGACCAAUGUUAUCACUGUAAACCAAUGAGAAUUCUAGGCAAACAACUUUGUAUCAGACCACUCUGUUCCCUUUGCCUUUAAUAACCUGUUUGUAGCAAAGGAGCACUCUCCAAGGCAACCUGGAAUUGUGUCAUAGGCUGCUUUUUCAACCUUGAACCAAAUACACUCUCUAUAUUAAUUCUGCCUCAGCUUCUUUCUUUAGGUGAUCAAUAUAUAUAUCCAGCAUUUACUCAGCAUUUCAUGCUUGCAGUGGGAAGGAUUCAUGAACCUCAGCUCCAUCUACCCCGUGACCAGAAACCCUGUUUUCUACUGAUGAUUCAGCAUAUAAUACAGGCUGACACUCAGUAGGACUAAAAGAUCUGUGGAAUCAUCCACUUGCUCAUUCACUUGUUGCAUGAAUAUAUAUUUACAUAAUUGGAGUCCUACUUUGAUAGUUUUGUAUCUUGCUUCCAGCAUGGGCUUCUUAAUGUGUGAUGAAAGUUCUCUGCCUAGAUUCAUUCUCCAUAUAAUUGAACUAUUUGAUUCCCACAGAGUCCCCUGGAAAUGAAUUAGCCACUGGGAAUAAUGAAUAGAGGACAAGAGAACAUACCAAUGAACUGCAUCAGGUCAACCUUGAAGUUUGCCUCAAGGCCUGCAUAACCCACAUGACGAUAUUCAGCUAAUCAGAACGGCCCUGCACACAGAUUAGAGAGGACUGUGGUGGAAAAUAGCAACUCCUUUACUCCCAAGUCCAACCAUCAGCCUAGAAACCAGUAGAAUCACUAUCACUGCUGGUUUUGCUCAGCCAAUAUGCUCCCCAUGGUACAAGAUCAACUUUACGACUUCUGGAUAUGAUGAUCCACAAGCCACCUCUAAAACCAACAGCUAAGCUGAUUAGCCUGCAAAACUUUAUCUGCUUUGGUUGCUUUUAGUUCCUUUUUUCUAGUUGACUUUAAAUCCUAUAUAGCUAAAAGUCAUCAGCUAAACAAUAUAUAACUAAAUUCCCACUGCCUUAUUUUUAAAUAGAAUCUAUAAGUCAUGAUGGUAACUUACUUACAUUGUUUUUUAAUAACUUGGGGUCAAUACUUGUCCAGUUCAAGCCAUCUGAGGCCACUGACCCUCCAACUGGACAGGGUCGAUCCCCUGCAGAGAUGUUCAAUGAAUGAUCUUCUAACAUUAGAGGGACAAAAACACCACUCUCAGAUCAUGUUAAUGAUGCCAUUUUGUGAAGACAUGUCCCAUAAAGAACCAUGAAGCUUGACUACAUUUGCAUGGAUCACUGAUUACCUCAUUUUUCCUCACCCUCAAUCACCUUUCCCCAUGCCUUGGACCACCUUGCUCCUCUAUCCCAUAACUAUCACUAAGACCUCAUCUUCAGGGAGGUGAAUUUGAGAGGUGUUCUUCCACCUCCUUGUUUGACUGCUUUGUGAAUAAAAUAUUUUCUCUACUGC